rfam:Trichuris trichiura, WGS project CBXK01000000 data, contig: TTRE_2671
CCCAUCGGACCCGUCUUGAAACACGGACCAAGGAGUGCAGCUUGCGCGCAAGUCAUUGACACGAGCGACUACGGUCAACGGCGAAACGAGAGUGCUUUGUGCGUGGCUGCUGUGCCUGCACCACGCUGAUCCUGUCACCGCUGCUGCCGGCGGUGGUGACGGGCGCACAGCGGUGCCGCUGGAUCCGUCGCCGCUGUUCCUGACCACGCGUCCGGAGCAGCGAACGAUCGGACCAGCGGACUCGGAGCGCGCACGCUGCUACCCGAAAGAUGGUGAACUAUGCAUGAGCAGGACGAAGCCAGAGGAAACUCUGGUGGAAGUUCGUAGCGGUGUUGACGUGCAAAUCACUCGCCCGACUUGUGCAUAGGGGCGAAAGACUAAUCGAACCAUUUAGUAGCUGGUUCCUUCCGAAGUUUCCCUCAGGAUAGCUGGCGUUCGCAUGCAGUUUUAUCCGGUAAAGCGAAUGAUCAGAGGUAUUGGGGACGCAAUGUCCUCAUCCUAUUCUCAAACUUUGAAUGGGUAAGAAGGCCGAUUUGCCUUGAGAAAUCGUGCCCAGCCGGAAUGCGUCGAACGGCUAGUGGGCUAGUUUUGGUAAGCAGAACUGACGAUGUGGGAUGAACCGAACGUCAGGUUACGGUGCCCAAUGUUCGGUGCUCAUCAGACACCAUGAAAGGUGUUGGUCGAUAUAGACAGCAGGACGGUGGCCAUGGAAGUUGGAAUCCGCCAAGGAGUGUGUAACAACUCACCUGCCGAAUCGACUAGCCCUGAAAAUGGAUGGCGCUCGAGCGCCGAGCCUGUACCUGACCGCCUGGGCAACGUUGUUGUCGGUCUCGCGCGUGCACUUGCUGCGGACGCUUGAAGGCCAAGGCGUGUAGGAAGAGGUCGCGACGGUGCGCGUUGAAGGUGUCGAGCGAGAGCUCGCCUGGAGCCGCCGUCGGUGCAGAUCUUGGUGGCAGUAGCAAUUAUUCAAGUGAGAACCUUGAAGGCCGAAGUGGAGAAGGGUUCCAUGUGAACAGCAAUUGCACAUGGGUCAGUCGAUCCUGAGAACGAGGCGAAAGCCCAAGCGCAACGGUGUGACGUCGUUCCUGACUUUUGUUCGCCGUAGCUAGCAGCACGCCGUACCGUUCGAAAGGGAAUCCGGUUGAAAUUCCGGAACCGAGACACGAAGAUGUACACCCGCGUCUCCGGUGGUCGCUUCCGCGGCCGCGGCGCCUCGUCGCCGCUGUCCGCUCGGUUUGCCCGACUGGAAGCACGCGGGACUGGUGCGCGCGGUAACGCCUCCGAACUCGGCGAGCAGCCGUCGGCAGUUCCGGAAAGAGUUUUCUUUUCUUCAUAAGGCACGCAGUCGCUGGAACCGGGUUGUCCGGAGAUAGCGACGAUGUCGCCGCAAAACGCCGCGUCUCCCGUGGCGUUCGGAACGCUCUCGACGGUCCGUGAAAAGCCGAGCUACGCCGUAUAAAUUCGUGCUCGCUCGUACCCAUAUCCGCAGCAGGUCUCCAAGGUGAACAGCCUCUGGCCAAUUGAACAAUGCAGAUAAGGGAAGUCGGCAAAACGGAUCCGUACCUUCGGAACAAGGAUUGGCUCUAAGGGCUGAACCGGUCGGGCUGAUGCUUCGAAGCGUGUUUGGUGCGGUCGCUGACUGCCGGUCCGAGGAGCUGCGCUUGCCCGGCGU